AGCAACGCGAAGAACCUUACCAGGUCUUGACAUCCUCUGACAACCCUAGAGAUAGGGCUUUCCCUUCGGGGACAGAGUGACAGGUGGUGCAUGGUUGUCGUCAGCUCGUGUCGUGAGAUGUUGGGUUAAGUCCCGCAACGAGCGCAACCCUUGAUCUUAGUUGCCAGCAUUCAGUUGGGCACUCUAAGGUGACUGCCGGUGACAAACCGGAGGAAGGUGGGGAUGACGUCAAAUCAUCAUGCCCCUUAUGACCUGGGCUACACACGUGCUACAAUGGACAGAACAAAGGGCUGCAAGACCGCAAGGUUUAGCCAAUCCCAUAAAUCUGUUCUCAGUUCGGAUCGCAGUCUGCAACUCGACUGCGUGAAGCUGGAAUCGCUAGUAAUCGCGGAUCAGCAUGCCGCGGUGAAUACGUUCCCGGGCCUUGUACACACCGCCCGUCACACCACGAGAGUUUGCAACACCCGAAGUCGGUGAGGUAACCUUUAUGGAGCCAGCCGCCGAAGGUGGGGCAGAUGAUUAAGAGGGUGAAGUCGUAACAAGGUAGCCG
rnacentral:rRNA from 1 species